rnacentral:rRNA from 1 species
UACGAAGGGGGCUAGCGUUGCUCGGAAUCACUGGGCGUAAAGGGCGCGUAGGCGGCCGGCCAAGUCGGGGGUGAAAGCCUGUGGCUCAACCACAGAAUGGCCCUCGAUACUGGCUGGCUCGAGACCGGAAGAGGUUGGUGGAAUUGCGGGUGUAGCGGUGGAAUGCGUAGAGAUCCGGAAGAGCACCGGUGGCGAAGGCGGCCUGCUGGGCAGUGGCUGACGCUGAGGCGCGACAGCGUGGGGAGCAAACAGG